UCCAGCCACUCCUUUGCUUUGAAAGCCCUGUAUGGUGGGUAAAGGAGAACUGAAGAUCCGACGGAGGAGACCACUACAAACGCACGUACCCCGGCUCUUUUAACCUUCAUCUAGCAUACAUUGAACAAGCUAAAUGCGGGAAUGCCGUGCCCUGCUGAAAUCUGAAAGCCUCUUGGGAAUGUAAUCUGCGUCCGCACCAUGAGAAUUAACCACCACGAUUUGAAGGAGUGAGCGUGAGCCCUCAGGGCGGCAGAGGCGGGACCAUGGAGCCGGACGUCAUACGGAUGUACUCUUCGUCUCCGCCCCCCCUGGACGACGCGGCCGAAGAGGAGGAUGAGGAGUUCGGCGACUUCGGCGGCUUCUCGGGGGUGGCUUCCAGCGUGAGCUUCGGCGAGUUCGAGUCCCCCAAAGGCUGCGGCCAACCUCACGCCACGGACACCUCGCCCCCCGUCCACUUCAACGCGGUCGCCUCCAGCUUCCCUCCAGACCUUGUCCCGGGGGGUCCGGGCAGGGGCUCCGGCGUGGCCCAACCGCGGUCCGACCACGACCCCCGCGCCCCCGGCUGCAGCCGCGCCUCCCCGCGGUCUGAGAGGACCUGCGGUGGCGAGGCGGUCAGGAAGCCGGCCCCCAGGACCCAGACGGCCGACGGGGCCCGAACAGAGAGCCGCGCUCGAGACCGCAGCGGGGACGUGGCAGCUCCGGAGGUCCUGACCAACGGGUUUGCGCCGUUCGACGCAGAGGAAGCCCCUGUGGUCAGGCCCAAAAAGAGAGGGCCGGCCGCUAAGCCCGCCCUGGACUGCUGCGGGCACAGGCCUGCCACCGACCCCGCCCAAAGGGACACACCCAGACAGUGCAGCCAGGUUUCAGACUCUCGAGACACCAACGGACUACCGGAGGGGAAAUACCUGGCCGGCCCAAUCGACAAACUGCACUCUGGGACAGGGCCGGCUGAUAGGAGCGUUGAAGGGAAUGGGGUCGAGGACGACGCGUGUAGUACCGGCUCCCUGACCGUGGCCCGAGAAGGCCUAAAGAACGGGGCCUGGGGCUCCUACACGGGGGAGGACUCUGAGCACAGCGACCCCGAGCUCUGGACCGCCCCUCUGAGUGAUCGGCGGGACCGAAGCCCCACUGUUCGGUCCGAGGAGGCGGGUGAGCGGCAGGGCUCUCCGUGCUGCAGGACGGAGGGAGCUGGCGAGGACGGGGGGAUGAAGGACGAGUGCGCCGUCGCCCCGGGGACCGUCAGCGCGUCGGUCAGCGACGACUUCGCGUCCUUCUGUCAGGCGGUGUCUCCAGACGGGCUGGAGGACUUCGGGGACUUCAGCGUGACCGGAUUCGCUGCCCCGCCCUUCCCUGAGGGGGAGCGGCCGCCUGGCGACAGCGCUGAUGACGAGGAGGGGGGCAGCUUCGGGGACUUCGGCCGGACGGGCCCCGCGAUGCCGGAUACAGCCGCCGAUUUCACCACCGUGGAGUCCGCCCAGGAGGAGUUGUUUGGGGAGUUUGGCGGUCCAGAAGAUGGCGCGGGCGGGAACGCGGGGGGCGACCCGGGGGGCUUCCCGGGCAGCGACAGCUUCGCCGACUUCACCUCGGCGCCCACGGGAGCAGAACCGGACGCCGCCGCCGGGUGGAACGCCUUCGGCCAGCCGGAGGGGGCCGCCCCGGACCAGGGGGACUCCUGGGCGGCUUUCCGGGAGGAACGAGGCGCCGUGCCUGCGGACGAGAGUGAGAAGACCUGCUGGGACGCUGCCGUCACAGCGCCCCCAUCUGGCAGCCCCCAGACCUGCAGGAGGGACAGCUUAUCGGUGACCCUCGCCAGCCGGCUGGAGAGGCUCUUCAGGGCCAGCUUCCCCGAGACGAGGGGGCCCGACUCUGGAGAACAGGUCCCCUCUCUCAAGGCUGUCCUGGAGCCCCCUGACGGACAGCCGGAGCCAGGGGAGGAGCGAGGCUCUGCCCGCUACAGGGACCCAAGGGAUGUGUGGUGGCAGCUACAGGACAUCCACGACGCGUUCGGCCUGAAGUUCCAGUGGGGCGGCUCCCAUAGCAACCAGGCGCUGCUCUGCUCUCUGGGAAUCGACACCCGAAACAUCAUGUUUGCUGGCCAGAAGAAGCAGCCUGUGACUGUGCCCGUGUAUGCGGCCGGCCUGGGUAUGCUAGAGCCCACCAAAAAACCUGUGAACCCCCUCUCAGUGGCAGAGAAGAUGGCGUCCAUAGCACAAGCACCUUCCUCGUCUCCGGAAACAAGCUCUUCACCGCAAUCCACUCAGCAGGAGGCGCUCCUCCCCAUCCAGUUUGACUGGAGCAGCAGUGGCCUUAAUAACCCUCUGGAUGCUCUCUGGGCCCGUGGAAGGUUCUAGUAGUAUCAGCCCCACCUCACUCCCAGGUCAGCAGGCAUCACUCUUCUCAAUUAACCCGUGAGAUCACACAAAUCCCAUUAUGACGUCCUUAACUGACCGCUCUAAUGCUGCUGUAACGGCCUGUUCGUAGUCCAACAACAGUGUUGCUCAACUGCCGCCCGACGCAGACUGUGGUCGUUGUCUUGAGAGAAAAGUAUGAAUUGACUCCAGUCGCCCACAGUAAAACCAAAUGUUAUUGCAACCAGCCGCACCCAUUACAUGUUGUCUGUCCCAGCAACACUGUCGCCGAACUAUAAACUGCCCUUAACGAUCACUACUGGAAAUUGUUCAGUAACACUGGCUAACAAGAACACAUUCCAAUAAACCUACUGUUCAAAGGAUUACUCACAAGAAUCAAGAAAGUUCCCCGAGUUGAGGUUUUUGCUCGUUCACAUCCAGUCACAUCCAUUGCGCGUGUCGUUGAAACUUUUGGCCUCUGCUCCACUGGAAGAUAAUCCAACUGAACCGAAACGUUAUGUUCUAACGACCCAUUGCUAGCCUUCAGCAGUCGAGACUGCUGUUCAUGCUGUUUGUUCUUACUUUCCCUAGUGGUCUCGGUUUCUAAAAAUCCCUUUUGCGUCCAUUGUUUGUCAACAUCGGCUGCGUUACUUGUUUUAAGGGUUUCUUUUUUUUGAAUCCCAAUUUAACGCGAGAAAAAUGGUAUGUAUGGAAGAGACACCACCCCCCCCCUCCCCAUAUUGACUAUUUUGCUAACAGCUUCUUCAUAGUUUUCCAAACUCAGUUGAUUUAUCAUGUCUCUAACAAAAUAUUUUUUUACCAAAGUUACUGCUAAGUGUAAAACAAAUUCUACAGAAAGUAGUGGUAGCUGAGUUUCUGGAGCUCGUCAAAACAUUGGGUUCAGAGGGAUCUCUGUGAAUUUACUCUUCUGAAAGCUUUCUGUCCUGCUAUUCUUCUACUGUGGACAGCUCCUCACCACCUGUAAGUAUCUCUUUCUUCUUUCUGAGCUUUAACUAAACAAAUCACAUUCACCCAGUUCUUUUGAGUAGCUGUUUCUCUUGCAUGCGUGUAUCCGUUGUUUUCUGCGUGCGAUUUCCUUUGCAGUGGAGAGAGACGUUACCUGCUCCCAAUGACAAAGAUAUUCUGUGUGGCCGAUAACCUUGGUUUGUGCGUGAAGAUCUAUGCUGUUAAAACAUGAGUGGUCGUUUUCAGUUCUCUCUCCACUGGUUCUUUGGGCUGUGGGCAGCAUCAGACGCAGAGUGGUGUAGGAUGUCAGUGAUGUCGGAGUGUGUGUAGUAGCAGCAGGGCUGAGUGUGUGUAGUGGCAGCAGGGCUGAGUGUGUGUGUGUGUUACUGCAGCCAAGCUGGGGACCAGCAGAACCAGCAGCCUACCCGACGCUGUCGCACGCCUCAUGUCUGCUGUGGAGAAGACCAGCAGCUCCUCCAGGAACCCCGGGCGGGAGGGGCCCCUGAGCGAGGAGGCGGGCAGGGUGAUGCGGGCCCUGCCG